UUUAGAAUUUUAUCUGCCCCAACUUCUCAUAUAAACUACUAUAAAAUAUCUCAAGUUCCACUGUGUAUGUAUCCUUCAUCAUAAACUGCUAUACUUGUAACUUGACUCAAAGAAGAAAAAAAAAUGGUUGGUAAUGGCUUCUGCUGUUCCUCCUUCUUUCUGGGGUUGGUGUUCUUGGUUCUGUUUUUGGGCUCAGAAGCUCAUAAGAACCAAAAAGAACUCAAUUAUUGUCAAAGAAACUUAGCAAUAAACAACGGAACUGCAAGAAUUGGAGUGGUUUUUGAUAGUGGGUCUCAAAUUGGGAAGCAACAAAUUGUGGCAAUUAAAAUGGGUUUAAGGGAUUUUCAUUUGGCUUCUUCUUCAUGUGCUAAGUUGGAGCUUCUCCUCCAUGAUUCUCAUCCAAACUCUACUUCAUCACCUUCUUCUACUUUGGAUCUGAUUACCAAAGGAGGAGUGAAAGCGGUAAUUAUUAUUGGAUCAUUGAGAAAGCAAGAUUUGAUUGUCAAUAUCUCCCACCAUGAAAUUCCUAUAAUCUUCAUUUCAAAUAAUCCCCAGUUAUUAGUAAAGCCUAUCAAAACCUCUUCUUUGAUUCAAAUGAAAAAUAGCAAUUCCAACCAUUUUGACUUUUCUUCACUUUUGACUCAUUUUCAUUUCCAACAAAAAGUCUCAGUCUUUUAUGAAUUGAACUCUACGACGGACAUCUCAGCCCAUCGUCUCUUGGUCGAUUCGUUUCAAUCUGUCAAUAUAGAGAUCGAUUACCUUCUGGCAUUACCUCCCUCCUCCAAUAUCAUUCAAGCAGAAGUAUUAAUUGAAAAGGAACUGAAAGGGCUUAUGAACAGCCAAAGGAAUAGGGUUUUUAUAGUUACACAACUUUCUCUAGAGUUGGUUCAUCUUCUUCUUACAAAAGCAAGGAAAAUGAACAUGGUUGGAAAUGGGUAUACUUGGAUUAUCUCACAUGAAGUUUUUGACCUCAUUUCCUCUUUAGAUUCUUCUUCUUCUUCUUUUUCUCUUUUGAACAAAAUGGAAGGGGUUAUUGGGUUACAAACAUAUGUCAAUGACACCAAAAAGUCCUUCAAAAGCUUUGAAACAAAAUUUAAGAAGUUUUACAAAUUAGAAUAUCCACAAGAAGAAGAGCCAACAAAAGCAAGUAUCUUUGCCAUUCAAGCUUAUGAUGCAGCUCAGGCAAUCACAAGAGCCAUGGAAAAUUUAAGGUCAAGUGAUCAUGAACUAAUGGAGAAAAUUUUGAAAAGCAAUUUUAAAGGGGUGAGUGGAAUAAUGGUGAGAUUCUCCAAGAAUAAUACUAACAACAAUGGAAUGUUAAUAUCUUCUCAAUCAUUGCCAAAUUUCAAAAUCAUUAAAGUGGUGAAUCAAACCUAUAAAGAAGUGGCUUUUUGGACACCCAAAUUAGGUUUUGUUGAGAAGUUUGUGGAGGUUAGUAAAAAUUAUAUGAGAAGUUUGUCAGAAAUGAGGGCUCCCGAAUCAGAACAAAGUAGAAACAGACAAAGAAAGCUGAAAUUUGUUGUUCCAGGACAAGGAGCUUGUCAGGAAUUUGUAAACGUGAGCUACUAUCCCAAUGGGACAAUACAAAAUAUCACUGGAUUUUCUGUUGAUGUGUUUAGGGCAGUUAUGAAUAAUAUUAAUUAUGAUACAUCGUCCUAUUGGAUGCAUCCUUUUCAUCAUCGAUCAUAUGAUAGCAUGAUUGAUGCAGUCUCCCAAAAGAAAUACGAUGGAGCAAUAGGGGACAUAACAAUAUUGGCAAGAAGAUUUAACAGUGUUGAUUUCACAGUGGCAUAUUUAAAGACGGACAUUGUGAUGAUUGUAACCGAAAAGCAAGAGACGUUGAAAAAAGUUUGGGCUUUCAUGGGCGCUUUUCAACGUCCAGUUUGGAUCAUCUUACCCACAAUGCAUAUUUUCAUCUGCUUCCUCGUUUGGCUAAUUGAAUAUCCAAAUAACCUAGACUUGAGGAGUUUUGGAAACAUGUUAUGGUUUUCUGUUACAGUCAUCUUUCACGUUCACAGAGAGCAAGUGAGGAAUGGGUUGGCUCGCCUAGUGUUGGGAUCAUGGUUGUUCGCGUUGCUUGUCGCGACAAAUAGUUUCUCGGCGAGUUUAAUAUCAUUGACGGCAUACUCGUGGUCUCAACCAUCGGUGGUCAAUGUCGAAAUGCUAAAGCAGAUGCCAUACGCCAAGGUUGGGUGCAACGCGGAAUCAUUCAUAUACGAUUACCUCACCACUACCUUGGAAUUUGACAAGUCAAGAGUUAAGACGAUGAAUUCAAUAGACGAUUAUGCAGAGGCAUUAAAGAAUCGUAGCAUUAAUGCUGCAUUCUUUAUAAGCCCACAUGCAAACAUUUUCUUGGCAAAAAAUCGCAAAGGCUACACCAAAGCUGUUUCAUCUUUCAAGCUCGGUGGGAUGGGGUUUGCUUUUCCUAAGGGAUCAGAACUUGCAACGAAGGUUUCUAGUUCCAUCGCGGAACUAACUCUUGCAAAUAAUAUAUCGACAAUGGAAAAGAACUUACUGGACUCUUUUACAUGCUCUUCAUGUGAGAGAGAUAGUGGGCCGGGCUUAGGGCCUGAGCCUUUCUUGGCCUUAUUCGCAAUAUGUGGAUCUAUUGCUUUCUUCGCCUUGAUGUAUAUGGGCCUACAACUCUGGGUUUCAUCCAAGAAAGAUUUAAAUUUUAAAAAAGAAGACACUCCUGAGUCUAAAAUCAACAUGCCAUUACCUUUACCAUAAAAAAGCAAUACUUAGAUUUGCUGAAAAUGUAAUGAACAAAGAUUCAAGUAUUUGUUACGAACUACCAAUCUCAUUGUUUGGUAUUGGUAGAAAGACUUGUGUUCUUGGAGAAGAUGUUAUUGAUUUAUGUAACAUGCGAGAAGUCCAGACUUCGACAUUAAUGGCAUAUAUGACGUAUUUGCAUUCACAAGAUGUUUCAAAUUACAUCUUCGUUGACCCAUCCCUUAUAUCUAUGGGUCACAACACCCAAGAAGUUAGAGCUCGUAACCUACACAAUAGAUUAACGGCUUCAAAACAAAAUCAACUCGUUCUGGCUCAUUUUAAUCAAGCGGCUAUUACUAUCUUUCGAUCUCAGAAAAAUAUUCAAACAAGUCGAAAACAACCAAUAUGGAAAACUAUGAAGUGUCCUUUGCAAGUUGGAGUAGUUGAAUGCGGGUACUAUGUGAUGAGAUACAUGAGAGAUAUAAUCACUAAUGGGAGCAUAGUAGCCACAAAUUCAAUAUGUUGUGUUUAAAUGAUUGUUUGAAUUAUUUUAUACAAUUCAAGUAAUCAAAAUAUUAACUUCAAUAUUUUGGGUUUUGUAUUCAGAUUGAUACAAUAAGCUCAUAUAGUCAAUUCGAGUUGGAUGAAGUGCGAAUGAAGCUUGUUGAUUUUUUGGGUGACCACAUAUGAUUGUGAUGAUUAUAUUUUGGG